UACGUAGGGUGCGAGCGUUAAUCGGAAUUACUGGGCGUAAAGCGUGCGCAGGCGGUUUUGUAAGCCAGAUGUGAAAGCCCCGGGCUUAACCUGGGAAUGGCAUUUGGGACUGCAAGGCUUGAGUGCGGCAGAGGAGACUGGAAUUCCUGGUGUAGCAGUGAAAUGCGUAGAUAUCGGGAGGAACACCUGUGGCGAAGGCGGCCAUCUGGACGACAAUUGACGCUGAGACGCGAAAGCGUGGGUAGCAAACAGG
rnacentral:rRNA from 1 species